rnacentral:rRNA from 1 species
UACGGAGGGUGCAAGCGUUGCUCGGAAUCACUGGGCGUAAAGAGCGUGUAGGCGGUUUCGUAUGUCUGACGUGAAAGCCCCGGGCUCACCCCGGGAAGUGCGUUGGAAACUGCGAAACUAGAGUCUCGGAGAGGAAGGUGGAAUUCCAGGUGUAGCGGUGAAAUGCGUAGAUAUCUGGAAGAACACCGGUGGCGAAGGCUGCCUUCUGGACGAUGACUGACGCUGAGACGCGAAAGCGUGGGGAGCAAACAGG